CCGGGGAACCACCCGCCGGCUGCGCACGCUUCCCGGCCGGCGUUUCCGUUGAGCGGCUGUUGGCAGACGCCCUGACCCGUUUCCUCUCUCGGACGUCAGUGGCGAGAAAGGGGUCUUUGAAGCUCCGGGCACCGAGGGCCCUUGAGAUAGUGUGGCCGCGGCUAGGCCAGACCAGGUGCAGGGGCGAGCCCCCUGUCGUCCUUUGCGACGCCGCCGCGGGCUUCAGCAACAGUGACUCUGGUUCGAGUUGGUUGCACCGGCCCGGGCGGGCCUCGGGGCCCGGGCCCGACCGGCCGUUGCCCGCCCCAGCCCCCUACAGCUGGAGGGCCUUUGAAGAAAUAUGCAGAAUGUGAAAAUGCCAAGCUUCUGAAGGCAUUUGGUUCCUUGCCCAAGGAUAGAGGCAGAUAUCAAGGGAGCCUGAGAGUGUUUGUGACCCUUCCAGCCAGCACUAGUGGUAGUAAGGUUAUACACCAAACAGAGAUGUAUGGAAAGCGAAAAGAGGACAUGCUAAGGAAGAGGACUCAAAAAAUGAUAAAGUGAUGUUUUUGUACUCACUACAAGUCAACAUAGUAUGAAUUACACCAACAAGUGUGGUCAGAUAUUUGAUUUAAAGUUCCUGUACUACCAGAUGACCCAGUAAUGGUGGAAAUGCUGCAAAACAACGUGCAGGACAAGCUCUACUUCUCUCCAGGGGAUACUUGGAUACUUUCAGUUUCAAAAUCGAAGAUGACUUAGAUGCCACGUGCCCUACAGAGGAAAUUGAAGAUGAAAAGUUGUAUCAGUUCCAUUUAUGAUUCAGCGACUGAGAACAAAACCAGUGAACGGUAUGUAAAAGAACUUUGGUUUAAGGGUGACGACAUGGACAUUAGUAACUCACAUGAAGCACAGUGAGAUUCACAAAUGACUAGAAAAUUCCAUAGCCCUCCAAAGCAAUCCUUGUAAUCAGAGGACACCUAGGGAAGCAGGACAGUCAACAGGUACAUCCACAACUUCAGAGAAGUCUGUUGGUGGGGACUCUGACUUUGCUGAAAAAGUAGGAUGCUUUGGUUUUUUCAAGUCAAGUGAUUAUUAUCAGAAAAUAUGGUUUAUAACUAUAGAUGGGAUGAAAUCUUUAACCUUAGAGCAAUCACCAAAAUCCUCUCUAUAUAUACUGGAUGACGUAAAUGACUUUAAACAGCUCUUAAUAGGCACUCAUUUACAUGUGAAUUUGAUAUUCUCACAGAGGCAAAAGUAAUCCAAGAGUAAGAAGAAAGUACUCAGAUUGUAUUGAAAGGUAUAAUCAUAAAUUCUGUAGGAUGUUUUCUUAAAGUUAAUUUUGACCAGGGACUAAAAUGUUUAGAGUAUUGGUAAUCUCAUCUAACUGAUAGCCCUUAGUAAAAGCAUGAUAUAUUUGCUUUACUGUAGUACUUAUCCUCCAGACAAGUGAAAGAAUUUAAUAUAACAAGCUCAGCUACAUUAUGAUAAUCUGGAGUUUUCUACUUAAUUGAAUGAGGAUGUACUUUUGAAGGCAUUACUUAAGGCAUUGUCAGCAAUGAGCAGAAAGGGGAGUACUUUUCUACUAGGAUCAGCUCUGCUCCAAAAUGGUGGUUAUGCUUUUUUUUAAUGAGUAUUACUUUCUGUAUUGAAAUGAUCCCACAGAAGACUUGGUUUGAGGCUUGGUUAGGGUUAGAUAAUGGACACAGAGGGCAUUGGGUUGGAGUGUUACGUGAAUGUGGCUUCUCAGGUCUCCCCAGCUCCUCCCAGGACAGGUGCUGAGGCUGGUGAUACUCGGGUUCUGCCUGCCCAGGUUGGAGAAUCUUUCCAAGCCUCUUAUAUCCCCACCUACAUUGUCCCCAAAUCCCAGUAUAUUACAUGGUUACAAAAACUGCCUUUCACAAGCCAGUUCAUCUGGACCUCUAACCUUCAGGAUCCAGGAAUGAUCCUUGGUAAGCUACCAACAUUAUCUUGCUACAUUGUCUACAGUUAACAUAAUAAUGAUUAGGCAUCUUACAUGGUCAUAUUUUGAUGUUGUAAGAAAGAGGAAGCUGUGAGAGGUAUAUGAAUUCAGGUCUGCAAUGGUCAGAGUUACAGUGGGAGUUAAGCAAAGCAUUUUGGUCAGUUCUUACCACAUAAAUGGGAAGGUAUGUCCGGGUGUUGAAGGUACUUGUGAGGUACUUAUGGGCAUAACAAAACCCAGCUACAUUUUUUUUUCCCCCAUGGUCUCAGUAGUUUGCCACACCCGGUUGUGGGAACCAUUUGGUUGUUCAGAUACCUGUCUGGAAUAUCACAAGGCCUAGGCCCCUGCUAGUUACCAGAGUCAGAAACUCCACUGUUACCAUUGUUUCCUCACAGAGUAAUGGUGAGGGCUUGGGUAAUAGAGGGUGUUGGUACUAUGAAUCAAAAAUGGAAAUUAGUAACUGUUUCUUGAAGUUCACAGAAGUAUGUGACCGCUGGAAAAAGUAUUUUGUAUGAAUAUAAGAAACCAGUGUGAGAACUUCAAAGUACAGUCUGCACUGGUCAAUUUAAUUUGGUGCUUCUCAGCCUUUUUUAUUUUCAUUGUUCCCCUUCCCACAAAGAGAUUUUCUAUACUUUCUCUUAAAGUGUUCACAGAUUUAAGGCCAGUUGAUGAAUAUUACUUUUCCUUGUAGGUGAAGAUUAAUUAAAAGAGUAGGACGGAUCUUACUUACCAUUACUAUAAGCAGUACUAGGUAUUUUAUUUUCAAGUUGUAUUUGGAGAGAAGCAAGCAUCUUUGCCUCUUCGGAGUAGGAAGUUCAGACUGGUAAAAGGUAGUAUCUCCUCCCUUUCUUUUAACUUAGGGGAAAAGUUUAAGGUAGUUGUCUAUUUUUGCAGGUGUUUUUGGUGACAACUAAGAUUAUAAGCAGUAUCAUAUCUCUGUGUUUUAAACAACUUUUUAAACAGGGUUUUUAGAAACUUAGACUUAAUUUUUCUUGUCUUGAGUUUUAAAGCUAUUUAAUUUCAUGAGCUAAUUACAUUCGGAACUAAAGUGAAGGAAGUAUGUCUUGGAACUUUGCAACCUUUUACACUUUCUACUUUGGGAGUUGAUUAUAAAUGAGGGUCGUGAGAUGGAGGUGGAUAGGAUUUAGUGACAUAGCAGUGACAUUGGACUUAGAUGAUUGAAUGGAAAAGGACAACCGUUGAUCUUGUCAUGCGUUAAAAUAAAACCUAAAACUUAAUGAUUACACUGUGUAACCACCACUGAGAUCAAGAAAGAGAGGAUUUUCAGCCUUCCACAUAUUGCUUCAAAUUAUGGCCCAUCUCCCCACAGGUAACCACUAUUCUGAUCUGUAGAGUAAUACCUUUGUAGCAGUGCUCCUCAUCCGGCAUAAGCAUCAUCUGGGAACUUGUUAGAAAUGCAAAUUCUUGGGCCCUUCCCAAGUCCUGACAUACCCACACAUUUUUGUGUGAGGGAUGAAUAUCUAUGUGAUUAAAGUCUAAAGCAGGGAUUCUCAAGCUUUAGUGUGUAUGGGAAUGACCUGGGUGGCCUACUAAAACAGAGGUUCUGGGGCCUACACCUGGAGUUUUUGAUGAGCUCUUUCUGGUUGUCUGCUUUAUUCACUGAUUCUAAUUUUCUUAUGUGCCGGGCAUGUUUGACUCUGUGCUAGUCAUUGCAUUUGAAACGUUAUUUUGCAGGAAUAACUGUGAGGUAACGCAAGCACUUUUCUCCAAAGAAUAUUUGCAUUUACUUCUGCCAGGCGCCUGAGGGCGCUAUCAGUUUGCGAUUGCCUGGUCAAAGUUUCAUUUUUCCUGGCCAACUCAAGGGAUUCUUACUAUAGUAAUGUUUGAAUUCUCUAGAUCAUCCCAGUUCUUGUCCCCUUCUCUCUGAGAUCCUGGAAUGCAGACCGUUGUAGGGGAAAGCCUCCUGUCAGACUCCCCAACUUGUUUGGACCCAGCAUUUUUUCCUUUCUAUACCUGGAAAGGCCAUGAAAAUGGAGGGUCUGGGUUUCUGGGAUUAGCUAGUACUCUCAAGGAAAAAGUGGCUUCCAGCUUGUUCACCUCUCUAGAUUCUUCUCUUUACUUUUGGCCUAAUAAUUCCUUACUAUUUUGUUAUCUCUUUGAUGCUUUUGAAAAGAUUAUUUUAAAUAUAUUUUAUCCAGUUUUUUUCGUUGUUUUCAGGUACAGGACUGAUGUGAACAACCUGAACCACUUUUACCAGAAGGGAAAUCUGGGAAAUAAAUUAUUGAUGUGCAGUAUUUUUUUUCCAAAAUACUGUGGUUUUUCAAAACAUUAAAAAUGUAUGGAUAUUUAUAUCCUUAAAAAACUUUUAUUUUUAGCUUACAACUUCUCCCAUACAUGGAAUACAUAAGAUGGUUUUGGUAUAAAAACUCACCUUGUGUAAAGAUUUCCAGGGUUGCAUAUUUAUGACCUUUAACUACUCCAAAGGGCUCUGUUAUUUCUGGGGGGUUCCAAGGAAUGCUUCCCGCAACUUGAGAAAGCCUGACAAAAUGCAGAGAUGGGCCUAGUACAGGAUCCAUUUUGCAGUUUAUGGCACUUUCUGUAAGGUUUAUUUUUGUCUGUAGCUUUAACCAGGCUGGACACACCAAAUUUAGGAAGUAGAGAUGGCUACACUUUUAUCCCUAAGGUGGUUUCUGUCUGGGAUAGCAUGUGGAAUGCCCCAAACCUUGUUUACUGUCAAGUUCUAAGCACUUGAUAGAUGAUAUUUUAACCACCUCCCUCUCUUCCCCGAAAGUAUGUCAUAUCAUCUUUUUUUCCUGUUUGAUUCCUAUGUCAUGUUACUCCCUCGAGUUAGGCAAGAUUCUUGAAGAGAAAAUACCUCUUCCCAUUAUUCCGUUGCUGCCAAAUCAGAACAUGUUCUUUCCAGAUAGGAAUGAGUCUGUUGUAUUUAUCUUCAGAUGUCUUUUGAGGGGGGUUGGAGAUGGACGUACACUAAUGGUACACAUGUGCAUUUGGAAGGUAAACUGGUAGGCUUUCCAGAUGUCAGAGGUUGUUAGUAAUACGGUGAGACACUUCAUGUUGAAAACUCUCACUAAUACAUAGCAAUCCAUGUAGGCUAGGCUUGGGGUAGAAAUGAACAAACUCUGAGAGCUAUUUGUAGAGUCCUUAGGAUACUUGACAGUCAUUUGAUAAAUGUCAGGAUGGUGAGGGUUAGUUGUGGGGAGCACACAACCUCUCUAAGUUGUGUGUCAGGAGAAAUGGCAGAAUUUAAUCCUGAUGGUAGCAAGCAUUAGCAUAUCUCAAAUAAAGGCUAUAAUCUAACUAGUUAGAGCAGAGAAUGUGUGAAGGCAGUAAGCACAUGCUGCUCCCCAGUACCUUUCUCCACCUUUCUUUCCUCUCCCUGGGAUGUGCCCAAAAUCUAUGCAUAGGCUUAUGUCACUAAUGCAGGAUGGGAGUCCCACCAUAUCAGAGGGACACUGAGUCCCCUCAGUUUGUGUUUUUCUUUUAUCAGUUUAGAGGAUGAUGUCAUUGAUAUAUAAAUCAGUAAACCUGUAUUCUUGCUACUUUGUUGCUGGACCUAAAGUUCAUGUUUUGAGUCUAGACUUUCAAACUAUACCCCAGGAUGUAGGAACUCUCCAGUUCAGAAUUACAAAUAGUGGGCGUGUGGGUGGGAGGAGGGUGCUUUCCGUAUAACACGGGGGCUUUCCAACCAUGGGAUUUCUUAAGUUACAAUACUUAAAAAUGACCCAGCACAAUCCACCCCUUAGUGGAUAACUUUUAUGUGGACCAACACAUUGAUCUCCAGACCAAUAUGAUAUCAUCAUUUAUUAUUUUCACAUAACUCCCCCCUUAAAGAUAGAAUUAGUGCUGUCACAAAUAAUAAACUCCCUUAUUAUAAUUCUGACUUUACUAAAAGCUGUGGAGGACUAGGACCACAUGAAGCCCACUCAGUUUAACCAUUUCCUUGUGGACAUAGCUUGCUGAGUCCCAUGUGUCCGGGGAGUUGUCUGGGAUAUAUGUAUUUUCCCUGUGCAAUGGCACAUUCUGCUCCUCCCUCCCCAGCCAGAAUAGAACCUUAACGGCAUGUGGUUGGAGACCACCAUAGAUCUUAUGGCUACAGUUGCUUUAGCGUUACUGUUGGUGUAGCUGCUCAUGUAUAGCUAUAUCGCAGACGUUUGAAGUAACCCUGUUAAUGUGAACUUUGGAGAUUAUAUACUCAGUUCUGUUCCUGAGCCCAAUAGGGAUUUGGGAGAGCCAUUUAAUGGCUCCCAGUUCUGGUCUAGUUAGUUGCAAGUAUCAUCUCCCCCUGUAUUCCUCAGGCCUCAGGCAGUCAUUGGCGUACAUGUGGUCCUCGUAUCCAGUAAGUGGGAGAAUUAGGAGUGGGACGUGCACUUUUUGCCAAAACCCAGAGUCUAAUUUUUGGCACUUGAUAUGGAUACUAUAAUAUAGGACUGUUACGAACAUCCUUGAUGUUGUAAGUGCUGAUAUCUAUUCUCUUUAGCUCAGACUCAGAGCAAACACAUUUAGAUGGGGUUGGGACUAUCUAUGCCUUAGGACAACUGGAGCCAGGAAGUCUCAGGGUUUGGGAAUGGAUCAUCUCUCUCAUGGGUCCAGUUAAAUGGUCAGGUACAAUCAACCCUGUUCCAACUGUUAGAGAUUUGGUAAGUCUAAUGUUCCCCAUCCCAACAUAUACUUUCUCUCUUAACUAUAGUAGAGCCUUCAUUUUUUGUUACUUUUAAGCUUAGUCUUCGCCUAGGCUAUCCAAGUUCUGGAUUCUGCCUGGCUUUUUCCUCAGUACCAUGAUUUCCCAUCCCUCGAUUGUUCUAGAAUAAAGUAUCUCCAGCAGUUGGGAUAUGUAUUAUUCUGUAUUUGUAGCCUCUAGACUAAAUAGAUAACUUGGCAUAGAGCCAGAUAAGCAAGUUAGUAUUUUCCUGAGAAAAGUCAAUUACCAUGGGUGUUAUGAGUCACCUGAGAUGUCUAGGGCAAUGACUGUGAUCAUUCCUUCGAGAUAAAACUGUAGCCGAUGUUUUUUUGUACUCAAAUGAGGACUAUUGGCUUAUUGGCUGUAACGUUCUCUAACUUGGCAUUAUAGUUAGCCCUUCCAUAACUAAUAUUCAGUGUCCUCGGUGCAGGUAGCAGAGACCUCUUUGAGUUUCUUUCAGAAAGUUUCCCUGCAGAGUUACUUCCAGCUGUAGCAAUCUGUGACUGGCAUUGAACUGUUGGGCAAUGCCUGGUCAGUGCUCCAAGCCAGAGAGUCCCCAGAAGAGAGCACUCUACUCCUCUUCCUCACUGGGAACUAGUACCUGGAAUAGUACAGUAUGCAUCUUUGUAUUACUGAACUUCUUUGUCUUACUAUGAUAAAGUUUUCAUUGAGAAGACUUUCAAAUAAGGAUGACUUCCAGAACGUGGCCAAUACAACCACUGUCCUCAAUGGGGGAGAUGGUAGACUCAUUGGUUUGGCAGCAACUCAGUCCAGUUCUUCCCCCUGGAUCUUUCCAGGUUUGUUUCUGAAGUGGUUGGAGCCAAGUAGCCAAUGGUAGAAAUUGUUAUAGAGGGAAUGGCGGAGUCCUAUACAGAGAGUAGAACAGGGUCAGCUAGAUGCUUUCUAUAGGUCAUCAGUCAGUCAACCUAGGAUGAACUGUGAUAGGUAGUUUAAACUUCUUUUUUGUGUGGGGAGAAAAGGAGAGGAUGGGGCAGAGGGAUAGUAGUGUAUCUUCCCUAUUUUUAUUAUCUGUUCAGUAUUUUCAGGCCUGUUAUCUCUGUUAGCCUGUAGACUCUUGCAAGGUUCCUUGUGACUUGGUGUUCAUGAAACACUUGUGCCUCAACCACACCCUACUCUGUACCCCACCCUCCAUACCCACACAUCUGCUACUUGCAGAUAAAGCCUCCUGUUCCCAAGUGUUCCCAGUAGAGGAAGUGUCCUAAUUUGGGGUCAUGGGCCUCCCCUCUAAGGACAUGUGUCUCAGAACUGUCUGAAGUUUGGAUAUAGGGUUGAAGGGCAGACAGUAUGGUUGACUAUUAUUUCUCUUGGUAUUUCCUUCCCAUGACCAUUAAUAGUUUGCCCAUCAAUUUGGGCUGUUUUCAACCUGUCUUCAUAGCUAGACCAAUAAGUCUCUCUACUGGAAUCUCUUUUUCCCCCUCUUUUUUACAUCCCCUCCCGCAUUUUCUUUUGGUUAUUUUGGGAGCUGAAAUACCAGAAGUCUUCCUAAGCCAUCUUUUCCAAAAUUGUGCAUAGGAAAGACUGCUAGUUAUCUACCCAUCUAUUCUUUCUUCUUUUCUUCUUUAUUAACAGAACCCUGAUUUGCAUGGAGCACAUUUGCAAUGCGCUCAGCUAAAAAACAAAAAUGAUGUCCAUCUGCUACCAAUAAGGAUGUGACACAGUUCUUGUCAAUGAGGGGUAACUAAAUGUGUUGAGAGGGGUUUCUAGUAAAGCUCCUUAAAAGGGGAUAACUUCAGGGCAUGUGCCUUUUGCUCUUCUUUCCCUCCCCUUCUUCCUCCCUGUAUCUUGGAGGAGAUGCUCUACACAAAACAGACACCUUGCAACAAUAUGACCAUGUGAGAAGAGCCCAGCGAAGAGCCUGGGUUACAUCUGAAAAGGCUGGGUUAUUAACAGGGCAGAUGGGCACUGUGUGUGAACUCACACUGCAUAGUUUGUGCACACCAUCGCCUCCGCUGCUGCCUUAGGUUGUGAAAGCAUGCCUUUGUCAUACAGAUCCACAUGCUGACAUCUCUAACACUGUUUGCGGUAAGAUUGUGCUGCUACUGGCUACUCUUACCAUCUGAGACUUUUUUUUAUACCUACGUCCUUUAAAAUUAGCUGUUGGUACCUCUUUGCCCCAAGUUCAAAACUUGAUACUUCUUAUGAAUGGAAGGCCUAAGAUCCUCUAGGGGAGUCGUGGUAUACAAUUUGAAAACAAUGGAGUUGACAGCAACUUGGUUAAUUUUCACAGAUUUUAAAAAUUAAUAUCCACAGAAACUGGCUAUUAAAAUAGUAGUAAUAUAAGUGUACCAUGAGAUGGUUUUACAACACAUUA